rnacentral:rRNA from 1 species
UAGGGAAUCUUCGGCAAUGGACGAAAGUCUGACCGAGCAACGCCGCGUGAGUGAAGAAGGUUUUCGGAUCGUAAAACUCUGUUGUUAGAGAAGAACAAGGACGUUAGUAACUGAACGUCCCCUGACGGUAUCUAACCAGAAAGCCACGGCUAACUACGUGCCAGCAGCCGCGGUAAUACGUAGGUGGCAAGCGUUGUCCGGAUUUAUUGGGCGUAAAGCGAGCGCAGGCGGUUUCUUAAGUCUGAUGUGAAAGCCCCCGGCUCAACCGGGGGGGGUCAUUGGAAACUGGGGGACUUGAGUGCAGAAGAGGAGAGUGGAAUUCCAUGUGUAGCGGUGAAAUGCGUAGAUAUAUGGAAGAACACCAGUGGCGAAGGCGGCUCUCUGGACUGUAACUGACGCUGAGGCUCGAAAGCGUGGGGAGCAAACAGG